rnacentral:lncRNA from 1 species
AUGCUAAUCCUGCAAGAGAGGGGAUGGGGCGGUGAGUGGGGCACUCACCCCAGACCCCCGGGCUGGGGACAGUCGGUUGCCGACUGUUCCUUUCCACACCGCCUGCACCAACAGGUCCGGCAUGGGGUGCGCGGCGGUGCUCAGCGCCCACCCCGGGGAAGGGAAGAGCAGUGGCAGCCUCUUACCGCAAAAGCCAGCCUUCCCCCGGCGCGGUCGAGCCAGGAGCGGGAUUCAGGUGCUGCUGCGGCUCCCGGGGCCGCGGGGACGUGGCCUGGAGACCCUGUGGAGGGAGAGCAGCUCGAGAGCAUCUGCCGGUGCCCGGCAGAGCACCGGGGCUGCUCGGCACGGCGUGGGGCGAGGGCACCCGUUUGGGCCAUGCACGCGGGCAGCCUGCAGUCACUGCGUGCCAGGCGCCCUGGGGGCACCACCGGCCCCCUCCCCUUUGCAGGUGAGAGGAGGGCCCGGGGGGCUGCAGAGCGUGAUGUGGGGCUCGGGGCUGUCAGAGCCUUGCCCCGGGCAGGGCAGGGGUUGCCAGCUGGGCACCCCGCGCCCUCACCCUGUGCACGGCACCCCCACCUGGAUGGGCACGAGGCCACGCGGGGUGUGCCAGGCGCCGGGGGGACACCAGCCGGUGUCACACAACCGGCCCCAAACACCCUCCAGCCCCCGCGGGGGCAGCCCCACCCCACAGGGCUCGUGGAAGCCCCGAGCUCUCCGCACCCCAGCAGCUCAGGCAGUGCCACCAGGAGCGGGCACCACGCCGCCACCACCCCCUCCGUGCCCCUGACACCCCGGUGGUGCCCAUCUCCCCACGCAGCCCCCCCACUGCCCCCCGUGGCACCUCCCCUCGGGGCCGGGGGGGUACCGGGCACCCUGAGCCCACCCUGCGGGCACCCAGGGGGGCUGCGAGCACCCAGCGGGGGGGUCGGUGCCGCGUCGCGGGGAGGGGGGGGGGGGGGGGGGCGCGCACCCAUCCCAGGGGCACACGCCCGCAGGCACGAACACCCGUGUGCGCACACACGCGCGCCCGCCGGCUCGGGCACGCACCCGCGGGCACACGGCGCCGGGCACACGCACCGGGGCACGCGGACACGCGCGGACACGGACACGCGUGUGCACGCGGCGGCCCCGCCGCGCCCGGCCGAGCCCCGAACAAAGCCGCCCCCGCCGCAGCCCCGGUGCCGCCGCUCCCCCCACCCCCCCCCCCCCCCCCCCCCCCCCCCCCCCCGGUUACCGGAGGGGGGGGCGCGCCCCGCCACGUGCGCGCCCCGGGGCCGCCGUUACCUGCAGCGGCGGCGGCUGCCGCCCGGUCCCGUCCCGUCCCGUCCCGUCCCGCUCCGCUCCGCUCCGGCGCGGCGGCGGCCGCGAGCAUGCGUGGGGCGGCGGCGGCGGCGGGGGCGGUGCCGCGCCCCGGGCCGCUCCCCCCCGCCCGCCGCCCGCAGCGGCACCCCCGGGCCGCGCCCCGCUCCGGAGCCGGGGGGGGACCGCGGUUUUUGGGGGUUAACGGGGGUGGCGAGCGCCCCGGUGCUGUCCCCAAAUCCCCGGUUGGGGGCCGUGGCCAGCAUCCAUCGCCGCCACCCCGUUGCCCGGUCAGCGGACCCCAACCCCGGGGACCCCCGCCGCAGCCCCCCGACACCCCGGGAUGUGGAUAGCCGUCAGCCCGGCACAGCCGCCCCGGUACCGCCAGGGCUGUGCCACCCCGACGCGCCCCGCUGCUAUGGGCACGUGGCCGGCACCGUGGCCUGGCCGGGGGGUCCGUGGCACGAGCCCCGUGGCACCGUCCCCGGGGUGGGAUGGGGGUGA